rnacentral:rRNA from 1 species
UACGGAGGUGGCAAGUGUUACUCGGAAUUACUGGGGGUAAAGGGCAAGUAGGCGGUUUAAUAAGCGAGGGGUGAAAUCUUCCGACUUAAUCGGAAAACUGCCUUUCGAACUGUUAGACUUGAGGCAAGCAGAGGGAAAUGGAAUUCCCGGUGUAAGGGUGAAAUCUGUAGAUAUCGGGAAGAACACCAACGGCGAAGGCAAUUUCCUGGGCUUGUCCUGACGCUAAACUGCGAAAGCUAGGGUAGCAAACAGAAUUAGAUACUCUGGUAGUCCUAGCCGUAAACGAUGAGUACUAGGUGUCGGACCGCAAGGUUCGGUGCCGCAGCUAACGCAUUAAGUACUCCACCUGGGGACUACGGUCGCAAGGCUAAA